rnacentral:piRNA from 1 species
UACUAUGUGCUCUUGCGCUUCCUGCUAGAA